rnacentral:lncRNA from 1 species
UGAUUUUGAACUUUAUGCUCCCCUGCACAGUGUUAUCGACAGCAGCCAUAGUGAAGAACUUUAAGUGCUGACGUGGGGAGCAGAUUAAAUUUCAAGAUUGAUUCUCAGCAACCAGAACUGUUGGACUGAACAACACACUGCACAUUAAUUAGAAGCAAUAAGAAAUAUUAUUGUGGGCCCAACAAUGAGCAAACAAAUGUUUUUUUUACUUCCUACCAUGAGAAUUGGUUGUAGUUAAUUUCACAUAAUAUGUCCCACACAAUUUAUUACUUUGGUCGCAGACCCAUAUUCACAAACAGAAAUAGAUAAUUCAAGUAGUGAAUUAAAUUGAUAAAAGAAACUACAAAGAAACUAAAUUUUUACAGUAUAAGGUAACCAUUUCAAAAUCAAAACUAAUUUUUUUAAUCUAAAAUACAUAACACAGAACAUAAAAAAUCAAAAAUCAACUUCAUUUUAUACACAGGUUGUAGACGUCAAAAUAUCAAUAAUCAUUAAAAAAAUACAUAUCAAAUAACGAAAAAGAAAAGAAAAAUCAAUGGAAAUAAAACAUACAAAAUCCAUACAUUCCAUAAAUACAAUUAGGAAAAAUAAAAAUAAGUGAAUAAAAAAUAGCGCGAAAACUAACCAAUAAUCCAAUAACGAAAUCAACAGUUGUAAUAUCUGUAAGCAACAACAUAAACAAUAAUCUACAGGGGCGAUGGUAAUUAGGGUUUAGGCAAGGGGAAAAUCAUAAGCAACCACAUCAAAAAUUCAAGAGAGACAUUGUCAAGAAAAAUCGCUGUUGGGUAAGAAGAAUACAGUCCAGAAACAACAUUUUUUUUGAAAAAAUUAAAAAAAUAAUAAUAAUAAAUUCUGUGGAUCAAAUCAAAUUAUUCACAGCAAUCGAUUUGAAUAAAAUUGAGUACAAAUAACAAUCAACAUAAAAUGCCCGUUUUUACACAAACACUUACUAACCUUUCAAGAUGAUCGUGUGUCCGAAAUCCCUUCCCCCAAUUCUAUUCAAUCCACUAACAAUUUGAUUUCAACAACUUUUGAAAAUUGUAUCAAGAAAUAUUUCGAAUUGAAGUUUGGAAAACUAUUGAUGUUGUAAGGUAAAAAUUAG